rnacentral:tRNA from 1 species
GGAGAGGUGGCAGAGUGGUCGAUUGCGUCUGACUUGAAAUCAGAUGAGCCCUUGCGGGUUCCCAGGGUUCGAAUCCCUGCCUCUCCG